UUGGUACCCUGUUGAAAUUUGUGAUGAUAUACCAAAACAGAACAAAGAUAAGAGCCUCAGACUGUAAAUUCGUUGGAGCAGGGACUCUCUGUUUGUGUGCGUUGUGUAGUGUUGAAGACAUUUGUCGACACUUCAGAAAUAAUGAAUAAUGCCAGUGUGAGGAGGAAAUCUCUCCACUCAACUCUAGGUGUUUCUGCUGCUAAGUGUUGAAAGAGAAACACAGAGCCCUGAACUUUGAAGACUUGGCAGAGGAGAGACUGUGAUGGUCCAGUGCACAGCCACUGCUUUGGGAGACGCCUGUGGCAGAGCACAGAGGGAUCAUGAUCAAAAAACCCCACUUUUCAUGGAGGAGAUGGCUGAAAAUGGGCAAAUAAAGACAAGAUGGUGGGAUGGAACAGGUCACCAAACUAGUGAGUCUCUGGAGGAAUCAUUCCUCCUGGGAUGUUCCCAGCUGGCACUAGAGACAGCAUUUCCUGGCAUGGUGGAGAAAGAAAUUAUGGCACUACCUGCUUGGGACUAUUUAGCUCAAUUAGGACUGGCAUGGAUCAUCUGGUAAUGGUAUUUUCUUUAUUUGAUGAAGUAUUCUUACCUUUAUGAAAUGAAAUAUGCAAUCAACCAUCUUCCAAAGGCCUUCUCUAUGAAAUUUGGUAGAAAACUAAGUCACAGCAGGAAGGACAUGGUUGCUGUAUACAUUUGAUAAAAGAAAGGAAAAAAUUACCUGCAGAACUCAAUUUCUUGGGACAGGUUCUGGAUCUCUACUGUGUUUAGCAUUGCUCAUCUCUCUAGAAGUCUGAAAUAGAAGACUUUUAAGUGUGUUAGAUCAGACAGAUUGUCAAGACACAGGUGCCAAGUCUCCCUUGCGUGCUGAGCAGGAUCUCUCACUGCUACAGAAGCGCAGUGCAGGUGUUUGGAUGCAAAGCA